UGCCCUCUCUCAGUGGGAAGCCAUUCCCCCUUGUCCUGUCACUCCAGGGUGACAGGUACUGCAAAGGGAAGGAGUCAGAGAUGGGGACCAACAAUCUUCCCUCUUGCUUUUCCCAGCUAAAUGGGAAUUGAAUCACAAUAACUUGGGAUAUUAUUUGUUGUAUGAGCUCGAUGAGGGCAUGUGGCAAUGUCUGCUGUAUUUAUGGAUACUUUAUUCCCUGUUCAUUCCUUUCCUUCUCCUUUAGCUCCCUACAGACUGUGGGGGCAGCGAGGGAAAAGCCACAUCCACGGGCACAGAGCAGCUUCCAUCCAGAGCAGUUCCUGGCUGUGGCUGAAAGGAAUGGCCUCUGCCAGGGCUUUAACAGCGACCGCCAGGCGCAGCUGCUGGAUCAGGCUAAAGACUGAGAACUCCUUUUCUUGCCCUGCAUCCCCAGGGAUGCUCCGUGUCCCUAAGAGGCUCCUUUCCUGCUGGCACCGCAGGGAUGCUCCCCGAGGCAGAGGGUGGAGGAAGCCGUGGCUGUCAGCGUGGGAAUUUCGUGGCAAUUUCGGGACAGCCGAGCACAGCCGGAGCUUUGGGAAGAGCUCUCCCUCGGGGCUGCAGCACAGCUGAGCUCCAUGUGCUUCCUGGGCAGCGUUCCCAUGGGACCAUACCCCGCGCGUUUCCCUGGAUCCCGCCGUGGGCGCCGUGCAGAGGAAUCUCGGUGGCCACAGCUGGGAACUCGGUGAAUUGGAAGCAAAGCUGAAGGGUUUGUCCAUGGAGAGAAUGGUGAUUUAUAAACCAAAGCAGAGUGGCAUUCCACACCAGGGAUUUGGGAUUUGGGAUGGUCCCAGUCCAUAAUCUUUCUGUUCAUUUUCUUUUGGAUGCUGCAGCAUCCUGGGGGAUGCUGUUCCUUUCCAUUUCCAUCUAAUAUUCUGUAUUUCAUCAAUUCUCUGUGGAAGUCUGCUUUUAAUGAAAAGGCCCAGGAGGAUAUUGAUGACAUCCCAGGUUCCUGGAAUUUACAGGUGUGUGCUCAGACCAAGGAUUGUUCUGGCUGGCAGAAGCUGCACCAAUGUGUCAGUCUGGAUUUGUCUUUUCUCCCAGUUCUCAGUUUGGGGGUGCAGUGCAGCCCUGCCCUAUGUAUCUCCUAGAAGAGUUUUGGGGUUUAAAAUAUUCUUUUAUAAUCUGCAGUAUCUCUCCAGAACUGGAUUGAAAAUAAUAAAACUGUAGCAAUGUUGUUUGGA